GAUGAAUUAACUCGAGCGCGUCAGAUUGAGAAACGGUGGGUUAAUUACAUGUUAAAAAAUGUUCAUUUCAAUAAUCUGAUGAUUUAAGCGAGACGCAAGGAAAUGGGAGGCUUGCAAAGUUGCAAAAAAAAACGUAACCGGG